GAGCCAGAAUCGGCUCAGUUUUUAUCUAUGAAGUUAAGGGUAGAGUAGCUGAACCAGGUAUAAACUGCCCCCUGCUGUCUGACACAGAGAAGUACGUAAAAUAUCUUCAUUAUAAAGAACCAUGUUCUGAAUGCCGGCUGUGAAUCGCCAACAAGCCGGGGUGAAGGCAGGCUGUUGCUGGCACGGGUCACCUGCCUCCUCUCUGGUGGGAAGAUGAAGGGAGAGUGAGAGAGGCAGAGGCAGCUCUUAUACACAGUACUAUUUUGGGGAUUUGGAGAGCUGCCUCAUUCCACCAUCUGCCG
rnacentral:lncRNA from 1 species